rnacentral:rRNA from 1 species
UGCGUAGGCGGGAUAGUAAGUCAGUGGUGAAAUCCUUCAGCUUAACUGAAGCACUGCCAUUGAAACUAUUAUUCUUGAAUGCAGAUGAGGUAGGCGGAAUGUGUAAUGUAGCGGUGAAAUGCUUAGAUAUUACACAGAACACCGAUUGCGAAGGCAGCUUACCAAACUGUGAUUGACGCUGAGGCACGAAAGCGUGGGGAGCGAACAGGAUUAGAUACCCUGGUAGUCC